CUCAAGUAGAGUCCAUUAUAUGGGUAUAUUAUUAUAUGGUUGUAUAGAUAUUUGAAUUUUCGCGGGUUCCCAUAAAACGUAAGCACCAGGAGGUACAAAAAUCUGAAUAGCUGUCCUGUCACCGACAUAUAAAAUCAAAAUGACGGGCGACCACAUGGAGCGUAAAAUAUAUUUCCUACCAAGAGAAAUUCACUGCGGGAAACUAUUUUCCCUAAGACAGGUAGCAUACGUCGCCAUUAUAUGAAGACGAGAGAAAUUUUAAUAUAAUUUUAUGAAUUUCUUGGUUAGGAAUAUUCGAAAUUGUAGGAUCCAAAGGACAAACCAAGAUGGUCACGUUGAGAAAAGAGGAGGUUAGGGCGCCAGUCGUAAAUUUCAUAGCGGGACAAUCCGUCCCGAGAUCCGCAUCAGUUCUCGACGUGGAGUCUGUGGCCACAAAAGGGCGCAGUGCAAAAAAUGCUAAUAUGGGGACGACUGUGUCCACGCAGUGCAGUCCUUUACUUAUUUUAUGGAUUGUUUAGAGCAAAUUACGUCUCGAGUUAAUUUACUGGCCAGUUGCGACGUAAAUCUUACGACGAGGCACUUUUAAACGGUAAUAACAUCUCGGUUAUGACUAUUUGAGAUUUAAUUGUACUUCGCCGACUUCUGAUACAGUCUUCUGAUACU